rnacentral:tRNA from 1 species
GCCUUCAUAGCUCAGUGGCAGAGCGCUGGUCUUGUAAACCAGAGGCCGAGAGUUCAAUCCUCUCUGGAGGCA